rnacentral:rRNA from 1 species
GAGUAACGCGUAUGCAACCUACCCUUUACAGGGGGAUAGCUCGGAGAAAUUCGGAUUAAUACCCCAUAUUUUUAUCAGAUGGCAUCAUUAGAUAAACAAAGUUACGGCGGUAAAGGAUGGGCAUGCGUGCCAUUAGUUAGUUGGUGAGGUAAAGGCUCACCAAGACAUCGAUGGCUAGGGGGUCUGAGAGGAUGGUCCCCCACACUGGUACUGAGACACGGACCAGACUCCUACGGGAGGCAGCAGUGAGGAAUAUUGGUCAAUGGGCGCAAGCCUGAACCAGCCAUGCCGCGUGCAGGAUGACAGCUCUAUGGGUUGUAAACUGCUUUUAUACGGGAAGAAUAGCCUGAACGUGUUCGGGACUGACUGUACUGUAUGAAUAAGCAUCGGCUAACUCCGUGCCAGCAGCCGCGGUAAUACGGAGGAUGCAAGCGUUAUCCGGAUUUAUUGGGUUUAAAGGGUGCGUAGGCGGGAUAUUAAGUCAGUGGUGAAAGUCUGCAGCUUAACUGUAGAACUGCCAUUGAUACUGGUAUUCUUGAAUACAAUUGAGGUAGGCGGAAUGUGUAAUGUAGCGGUGAAAUGCAUAGAUAUUACACAGAACACCGAUUGCGAAGGCAGCUUGCUAAAUUGUUAUUGACGCUGAGGCACGAAAGCGUGGGGAUCAAACAGGAUUAGAUACCCC